GACGAACGCUGGCGGCGUGCCUAAUACAUGCAAGUAGAACGCUGAAGGAGGAGCUUGCUUCUCUGGAUGAGUUGCGAACGGGUGAGUAACGCGUAGGUAACCUGCCUGGUAGCGGGGGAUAACUAUUGGAAACGAUAGCUAAUACCUCAUAAGAGUAGAUGUUGCAUGACAUUUGCUUAAAAUGUGCAAUUGCAUCACUACCAGAUGGAUCUGCGUUGUAUUAGCUAGUUGGUGGGGUAACGGCUCACCAAGGCGACGAUACAUAGCCGACCUGAGAGGGUGAUCGGCCACACUGGGACUGAGACACGGCCCAGACUCCUACGGGAGGCAGCAGUAGGGAAUCUUCGGCAAUGGACGGAAGUCUGACCGAGCAACGCCGCGUGAGUGAAGAAGGUUUUCGGAUCGUAAAGCUCUGUUGUACGAGAAGAAAGAGUGUGAGAGUGGAAAGUUCACACUGUGACGGUAUCUUAACAGAAAGGGACGGCUAACUACGUG
rnacentral:rRNA from 1 species